rnacentral:rRNA from 1 species
AUACGUAGGGUGCAAGCGUUAUCCGGAUUUAUUGGGCGUAAAGCGUCUGUAGGUUUUUUGUAAGUCUUUUGUCUAAGCCCGCAGCUUAACUGCGGAAAGGCAGGGGAAACUACAAAAAUAGAAUGUGUCUGAGGAGUUUGGAAUUCUUGGUGGAGGGGUGAAAUCCAUAGAUAUCAAGAGGAACACCAUAUGCGAAGGCAGAACUCUGGGACAUUAUUAACACUGAGAGACGACAGCUUGGGUAGC